rnacentral:RNase_P_RNA from 1 species
AGUUGAUAUCCAGUCAUCGCUUAAUAUGCUAUGUUGAAGUAUGUUAAGAGGAAAGUCCGAGCUCCAAUAAGAGCAUGAUGCUAGGUAAUGCCUAGGAGUUUGAAACUUAAGAGAGUGUCACAGAAAAUUACCGCCUUAGGGUAAGGGUGAAAAGGUGAGGUAAGAGCUCACCGCUUAUUUAGUGAUAAAUAAGGUCAAGAUAAACCUCAUUAGGAGCAAAAUCAAGUAAGCAAGCUUCCUUAGCUCUUGAGGGUAUGCUUGUGGGUAGAUUGCAUGAUUUUUCCAGUGAUGGAAAAGCAAGAUAGAUGAUGACAUAAUACAGAACUCGGCUUAUGGAUGUCAACUUCUA